CUACAAACAGGACAUGGGCUCUGCAAAUCAGAUGUGCUUUCUCAUUUGGAACAAGGAGAAGAAGUGUGGAGAGAAGUAAUAGGAUUUCCACAAAACCAGAGUCCAGGCAGAAAAGGUGCCUUUAAAAAACAAGAAGUGAUAGUCACCCAAGCUAUCUGUAGGAAACAUGCGUCAACCAUCAUAUCAUUGGUAAGCUUCAUUGUGUGAAUGCUAGUUUUCCAAAUAAAUACCACGGAGUGGAAUAAAUUAGG
rnacentral:lncRNA from 1 species